rnacentral:rRNA from 1 species
AACUUUCAACAACGGAUCUCUUGGUUCUCGCAUCGAUGAAGAACGCAGCGAAAUGCGAUAAGUAUUGUGAAUUGCAGAUUUUCGUGAAUCAUCGAAUCUUUGAACGCACAUUGCGCCCUGUGGUAUUCCACAGGGCAUGCCUGUUUGAGCGUCAUUUCU